GGGGUUGUGGCUUAGUGGUAGAGCGCUUGCCUAGCAUGCGUGAGGCACUGGGUUCGAUCCCUGACACCA
rnacentral:tRNA from 1 species